GACGAACGCUGGCGGCGUGCUUAACACAUGCAAGUCGAACGAUGAAGUGGAGCUUGCUCCACGGAUUAGUGGCGAACGGGUGAGGAACACGUGAGAAACCUGCCUCGGAUUUUGGGAUAACAAAUGGAAACGUUUGCUAAUACCAAAUAACGUCGGAGAGUCACAUGACUUUCUGACGAAAGGAAUUCCGAUUCGAGAGGGUCUCGCGGCCUAUCAGCUUGUUGGCGGGGUAAUGGCCCACCAAGGCAAC
rnacentral:rRNA from 1 species